rnacentral:rRNA from 1 species
AGUAAAAGUCGUAACAAGGUCUCCGUAGGUGAACCUGCGGAGGGAUCAUUACAAGUGACCCCGGUCUAACCACCGGGAUGUUCAUAACCCUUUGUUGUCCGACUCUGUUGCCUCCGGGGCGACCCUGCCUUCGGGCGGGGGCUCCGGGUGGACACUUCAAACUCUUGCGUAACUUUGCAGUCUGAGUAAACUUAAUUAAUAAAUUAAAACUUUUAACAACGGAUCUCUUGGUUCUGGCAUCGAUGAAGAACGCAGCGAAAUGCGAUAAGUAAUGUGAAUUGCAGAAUUCAGUGAAUCAUCGAAUCUUUGAACGCACAUCGCGCCCCCUGGUAUUCCGGGGGGCAUGCCUGUUCGAGCGUCAUUUCACCACUCAAGCCUCGCUUGGUAUUGGGCAACGCGGUCCGCCGCGUGCCUCAAAUCGACCGGCUGGGUCUUCUGUCCCCUAAGCGUUGUGGAAACUAUUCGCUAAAGGGUGCUCGGGAGGCUACGCCGUAAAACAAACCCAUUUCUAAGGUUGACCUCGGAUCAGGUAGGGAUACCCGCUGAACUUAAGCAUAUCAAUAAGCGGAGGAAAAGAAACCAACAGGGAUUGCCUCAGUAACG